AUGGGGGUUUGUAGUGUUU
rnacentral:miRNA from 1 species